rnacentral:rRNA from 1 species
UGGGGAAUCUUGCGCAAUGGGCGAAAGUCUGACGCAGCCAUGCCGCGUGGAUGAUGAAGGUCUUAGGAUUGUAAAAUCCUUUCACCGGUGAAGAUAAUGACUGUAGCCGGAGAAGAAGCCCCGGCUAACUUCGUGCCAGCAGCCGCGGUAAUACGAAGGGGGCUAGCGUUGCUCGGAAUUACUGGGCGUAAAGGGAGCGUAGGCGGACAUUUAAGUCAGGGGUGAAAUCCCGAGGCUCAACCUCGGAACUGCCUUUGAUACUGGGUGUCUUGAGUGUGAGAGAGGUAUGUGGAACUCCGAGUGUAGAGGUGGAAUUCGUAGAUAUUCGGAAGAACACCAGUGGCGAAGGCGACAUACUGGCUCAUUACUGACGCUGAGGCUCGAAAGCGUGGGGAGCAAACAGGAUUAGAUACCCUGGUAGUCCACGCCGUAAAGCGAUGAUUGGCUAGUUGUCGGGGAAANCUUGCUUUUCGGUGACGCAGCUAACGCAUUAAGCAAUCCGCCUGGGGAGUACGGUCGCAAGAUUAAAACUCAAAGGAAUUGACGGGGGUCAUAGCUGUUUCCUG